rnacentral:rRNA from 1 species
UUGCGCCCUUUCGGCCACCCCCAAAGGGCAUGCCUGUUUGAGUAUCAUGAACACCUCAACUCUUCGUGGUUUCCAUGAUUGAGCUUGGACUUUGGGGGUCUUGCUGGCCUUGUGGUCAGCUCCUCUAAAAUGAAUCAGCUUGCCGGUGUUUGGUGGGCGUCACAGGUGUGAUAACUAUCUACGCUUGUGGUUUUCCACCAGGUAACCUUCAGCAGUGGAGGUUCGCUGGAGCUCACAGACGUCUCUCCUCAGUGAGGACAGCCCUUUGAAUGUUUGAUCUCAAAUCAGGUAGGACUACCCGCUGACUAAGCAUAUCAAUAGCGGAGG